CGCGUAGGCGGGAUGGCAAGUCGGUCGUGAAAUCUCUCGGCUCAACCGAGAAACGUCGGCCGAUACUGCCGUUCUUGAGGGAUGCAGAGGAGACUGGAAUUCCCGGUGUAGCGGUGAAAUGUGUAGAGAUCGGGAGGAACACCGGUGGCGAAGGCGGGUCUCUGGGCAUUUCCUGACGCUGAGGCGCGAAAGCGUGGGAGCAAACG
rnacentral:rRNA from 1 species